ensembl:lncRNA
AUGGGAAUGAUUGAAAGAAACAAAGAUCUGGUUAAAGAUUUGGCUUUCUUAUUGAAAGAGAUGGAAACUAUUUCAUGUGUGACACUAAGAAAAAACUGAAAGCUUAAUAGAUCUGGAGGUCCAGCUGUUGUUAUAUAAAUGUGCAAAUGUAUUUUAAUGAAAUUAGGAAGAAAAAAAGUGGGAUGUUUAAAAAAUAAAAUGGCAAAUUUAAUUUUGUAUUAGACGACAAAAUGAUGUUGGUUUGUGCUGAUGUCUUUGGAAAAAGGUUUGGUCACUAAUAAGUUGAGAUUUAACAGGACAAACUGAGGGUAGGUAAUAUAAUGUACACAGUAGCUCUAAUGGCUUUAAAUGGGCAUCUGUACACCUGUAGAUAUUUUAUCAAACAUCAAUCAUAAUUUGUGAUCAAUGUGAGUUUUAAACAUUGAAAUUUCUUUAUAUUUCUGACUAAUUUACAAAAUAUUAAAAAGAAUUUGAGUUUUUUUUUUUUAAAAAAACAAGACAUUUCUAAUUGACUUCAAACUUUUGAGCUGUAGUGUAGAUUGCAGUGAUAGUGUAUAGUUAUCUAUUAUAGAAGAUGAUAUAGAAGUAUGAGGACAGGGAGACACUGUUAAAACGUUAUGAGCUGUCUUGCUGCAGAGAAAGUGGAGUGUGUCAUCCUUGAAAUGCUCCCUAGAUAGGCAGCUGGCAGGAUUGAAUGAUGCUCUGCCUCUGUGGUCAAGUACAGACAUAGGCCUUAAGCAACCAUGAGCCACUGAUGAGCGUGACAGAUUAGGAAGCAGGCAUAAAGUUAGACACCUGUGAGCCACUAAUAGGAGAAAAUGAGCACGCAAUAAAGUGGACUUGUUAGGCAGAUUUUGCCAUCAGAGUUAAAACACUUCAACUCAAUUUUUGAUGAUAGACACAACUAAAAAACUCCUGAUCAGAUACAGACACAUGUACACAAUACACACUACUGCUCAAAAGUUUGUGGUCAGAUUGAAACAUUCUUGUUUCAUUUAUGAAUUUACAUUUGCUUUAACGUAAUAUUACAUGAAGUUUAUCAGUAAUGUUUUCACAGAUGUGUUUUUAAUGAAUCAUUUAUGGUAAAUCAGUCAUGAUGUGUUAGGAAAUGUCUACACAGUUAUACAUGGGCCCAUUUUUACUAUCAAUCACUCCUGUAUGGACAGAUCACAUGGUUAUAAACCAGAUGCAAAUUUGAUUUAAUGUGAAUAUAAAGCAAAAAUGGGAUGAUACAUCACAAACCUCACAGAUUUACUGUUGUUAAUCUGUACAAUGAUGCUGGUUUGUGCUGAUGUCUUUGGAAAAAGUUGUCUUGACUGAAACGCUGGGAUUUAAAGAGACAUCUGGUAACAAAAUGUGCCACUGAAACACAACAGGUAUUAUUGCUGAAAAUGGUCCUCUGUAGAUGUCAUGGUCCCUGAGCCCUGUUUUCUUUGCCUGCUUUUCUCUCUCUCUCCUCUGUCCGUGUGCUUGUCUGUUUCAGGGGAUGCCCCUCCUCCUUCCUGUCGUUCAGUCACUUGUCAACAACCAGCUGAUUGCUCCCCUGCUCCUCAUGAAGUCUUCAUGCUGGCUUCUCAACAACCACAUCAUUGCAUCACCAAGACCUUUCAGCUUUUUCGGAUCCCUGCAAUCUUCUGUGACAGUGUCUGAGUGUGCCUUCAGACAGCCUGCAGUACCUCUGCCCGUCUCCUGGAGCCCACAGUGUUUAUCCUGUAUUCAUAACUAUCUGC